AGGUAUUGCAUUCUGGGAUUAAAGGGGACACCUACCAAGCCCAGUUCAGUAUCAUUCAUAAUGACUACCUGGUCCUUGAAUGAAAACACUCAUGAUCAGAUCCAGAUGGAGAGGUCUCUGCUACCUUUCCAGCACCACAUAUGCCUGCAUUCUGCCAUGCUUCCCACCAUGAUGAUAAUGGAAUAAACCUCUGAAGAAGAGGCCACAAGAUGACAACGAAGAAAACAAACACCCUGCUCCUCAUUCAAAGAGGAAUAAGAAGGACCAGGCCUUCCAGGAUACUUGCACAGUUGAGG